rnacentral:rRNA from 1 species
AUGUCAUGGGAACAAAUGGUGAAACCGAAACGUGGAGGUGGUCUUGGCUUUCACGAUAUGCUGUCCUUUAAUCAGGCCUUGCUUGCGAGGCAAGGAUGGAGAUUACUCCAGUUUCCGGAUAGCCUGUGUGCAAGGGUUCUUAAGUCAAAAUAUUACCCAAAUGGGGAGUUACUAGACACAGUAUUUGCGACGGAUGUGUCGCUAGUAUGGAGAGGAAUUGAAUUUGGGUUGGAACUCCUGAAAGAAGGAGUCAUUUGGAGGAUCGGUGAUGGUCGGAAAAUAAGGAUACAGAGGGAUAAUUGGAUACCCAGGCUCAAUGGACUAAGGUCGGCCACCUUUAUAAGGAACUCACGCCUACGAUGGGUGAACCAGCUCGUCAGUCCGGAUACCAAUGAAUGGAACUCUGAACUCAUUCACCAAAUCUUCUCAGACAUAGACGCAGAGGCAAUCUGUAAGAUAAAGCUUCCAACCAGAAGAUCUACAGAUACCAUUGCUUGGCAUCAUGAAAACACGGGUUACUUCUCUGUAAGGAGUGCGUAUAAAUUGGCUGAGGAAUUCAAAAUGAGGGACAAGCCGCAGGCCUCUAGCUCUUCAGGUUCAGCAAAUAAUAGGAGCAGCUGGGACCUGAUUUGGAAAUCCAAAAUCCCUCAGAAAAUAAAGAUCAAUGCUUGGAGAAUUGCAACAAACUCACUGGCCACCAUAAAAAAUAAAGUCAGGCGCACCUUGGGGAAGAUUGCAACGUGCACUAUCUGUGGUCAGGAGGACGAAGAUGAGUUCCACGCAGUGGUGGCGUGCACCAAAGCUAAAGCCCUUCGGAGUGAGAUGAGGAGAGUUUGGGUCCUACCUACAGAAAAAGAAUUCAGAUACACAGGAAAAGACGGGCUCCAAUGCCUAUUAGCGACGUGCAAUGAGGACACAAGGGAGAAGCUAAUGUUGCUAUUUUGGAGAGCUUGGUUCCUACGCGAUGACUGCGUACAUGGGGAAGGAAAAGCACGAAUAUCUGUAUCGGUUGAUUUCCUGAAGAGGUACAAGUAG